UACGUAGGUGGCAAGCGUUGUCCGGAUUUAUUGGGUUUAAAGGGUGCGUAGGCGGCAUUUUAAGUCAGUGGUGAAAUACUUCAGCUCAACUGGAGAGGUGCCAUUGAUACUGGGAUGCUUGAGUACUGAUGAGGUAGGCGGAAUGGACGGUGUAGCGGUGAAAUGCUUAGAUAUCGUCCAGAACACCGAAUAGCGAAGGCAGCUUACUAAGGGAGUAAACU
rnacentral:rRNA from 1 species